rnacentral:lncRNA from 1 species
GGUCAACUACAAAUGAACAAGUGGUUCUUCUCUAUAGCUAGCUAUUAUUUGUCCUUUUUAUUUACUGUUCAACAGAUCAAUUGGCAGAUUCAAGAUGAUGACAGUGAUAUGGUGAUGAUGAUAUGAUGAUUCAAUAAUCAAUUGGCCUCUUUUUCUGGACUCUCAAAAAUGAUUCAGCCUUUGAUCUGAUCCAAAAUCAAGGCAAUUUAAUUUCCACUCACAAUUAUGACCACAAUAAAUCUCUCACUCUCUAUCAGAUCUUGUAAUUUGUUUGAAGGUUGUAAUAUUGUUUUGUCUUUGAUUUGGUCUAAUUUUUAUUUUAUUUAAUUCAGCAAUUUCAAGCAAGCUUGAAUGGAUAAAAUAUAAUUGGAGAUUCAUAGCUGUUUUAAUCUGAUGAUAAUAUAUAAUUUUGUGAUCUUGCUAUGGCUAGUCAUGUCCAUGCUGAAUACAAUAAUUUUUAAUAAUUUGAUAUUUAGCUUCUUCUGCUGUCUCCAUCCCUAUUUUCUUAGCCACAAAUGCAGGCAAAGUUUAUACAUCUUACAAUGGAUCAAUGGUCAUCAUUUAAUAUAGAUUAAGAAAAUGUCUCAAACUCAAUUCAUUAAAUACCAUUGAUCUGUACUUUGUACUGUAUUAGUCGGCAAAAUUACAGAUAAUUAAGUAAUAUAAUAAACAUUCUAGCCUGCAGAUUCAGCACAACCUAGCAUUACUUUGUAUUGAUCUAUUAAUUAAUCACGAUUCCUUGAAUGUGUUACUUAUAUUAGACUGAACAAUUAUACCGUUCUUAUCUUACUUAGCUUAGUUACAAAAAAUAAAAUAAAAUGCUAUGGUUUAUAAUGCAGUCUAGAACUGCAACUGAAUAAAUUAAUCAAUUAUAUAUCUUUGUAGCAGCAUCACAACCACAAUUGUUCGACUACAUUUUGCUGAAAUAUAAUACUUUGCAAUGCAGCCACAAUUUAAAACCAUAUCUAGAUUCAUCCUCAUCCUAACUAGCUCUAGAUCAAGAUAUUUUUUAAUUAUGAAGGGUAAAGUCUACACUACAAGUCACAACAAACACAUCUUUUGUUUUAGGUGCACGAGACUCUAAUUACAGGAAAGAACAUUUUCAGUUACAGAUUGUUACACACACAAUAUUGGACCACAAAGAGGUGACCAUAAUGCCUUUAUCACUUGUAUGGAACUUUCCAACAACUUAAAAAUACUUUUAAGCAAUUGGUGGGUGACUCUAGCUAUAGCCUAUUGGUUAGGUGAAGCUUUAAUGGAAAAGAUUAACCAUAAGAAUAAUUAAUCACAGCUAAAUAUUAACCAAGUAAGUGUAUUAUUAAUGUGAUACAAAAAUGAAAGCUACCUAAAAGCAAUAUUAUGCAUCAGUAACUUGUGAAAGAAACUAGGGUUUUCUUUUUUUUCCCAAAUAAAGUUAGAGACAGUUCCAUGAUGUAAGAAUUGAGUGUAUUUAGAUUACCUGCAUGUACUAUUUAUUUUGCUAUCUACUAUAUAACUAGUGCUGAAAAUUUGUACCCUUUUUAAUUCCACUAAGGAUAAUAGUAAAAAAAAUUAGAAACUGUAAAAAAAAAAAAAAAAAACCUUUUUAGAGGAAAAAAUGGAUCUUGCAUGGUCUUGAAGAAGAAGUUGUUGAUCCCAGAAAAACUGUGUCUAUGUCUGAGGAUUUAAAUCCGACAGAUUGGUGAGCUUCAGAGCCAUUAACUUUACAACAAGGACUUUUUAGUUGGUGGAUUUUCACAAGCACUUCGAGUCUAGUCCAUAUAC